UCCAAAGUAUAACUGCUUGUACAGAAAA
rnacentral:piRNA from 1 species